GCAGGCAAGAAAUACUGUGUUGUCUUAGGUUCUAAAAUGCACAGGUAUACUUUAUGAUCUGUCUACCUGUUCUGUCGUUUAGCUCUUAUAAAACUAAUGAUCAGGCAAGAAAUACUGUGUUGUCUUAGGUUCUGAAAUGCACAGGUACAAUAUAUCAUCUGUCUAAGUAUACUAUGUCAUUUAACUCUUGUGAUAAAUCUAAUAUUCAGUAAAGAAAUAUCAUAUGUUGCCUUAAGUUCUGAAAUGCACAGGUACACAAUAUGGUAUGUCUAUCUCUACUAUGUCAUUCAACCGUUAUGAUAAACUUUAUGAUCUGUCUACCUAUUCUGUCUUUUAGCUCUUAUAAAACUAAUGAUCAGGCAAGAAAUACUGUGUUGUCUUAGGUUCUGAAAUGCACUGGUACAAUAUAUCAUCUGCCUAAGUAUACUGUGUCAUUUAACUCUUGUGAUAAAUCUAAUAUGCAGUAAAGAAAUAUCAUAUGUUGUCUUAAGUUCUGAAAUGCACAGGUACACAAUAUGGUAUGUCUAUCUCUAUUGUCAUUUAACCGUUAUGAAAAACCUAAUAUUCAGUAAAGAAAUAUCAUAUGUUGUCUAAAGUUCUGAAAUGCACAGGUACACAAUAUGGUAUGUCUAUCUCUACUAAGUCAUUUAACCCUUAUGAAAAACCUAAUAUUCAGUAAAGAAAUAUCAUCUAUUCUUUACUUUUAUCUUUUAUAGGAGCGGCGAGUAGCGUUUUUUUUUUUUUUUUUUUGUACUCU